UAACAACAAUGCUACGGACAGUCGGGUAAAGCAGUCGCCCCGCAGUCGCCAACUCAGCAAUCACGUGUUUAGGUUGCUCCGAAAUUGAAAACCCUAUAUUGCCCCCAAAAUAGAAACAAUAUCCCGAAUUAGACAACACCACCUGAAAUAGAAAGAAAAGCUAAAAAAAAAAAAAGGUUCCGCUUCGCCUUUUCGUUCUGCAACUGAGCUCGUCACGCUCACAGAAAUUAUGCUACGGACGUGUGCGCUGGAGACGAUCUGUGUGAGAAAGAUUUCGUGUAGUUUGGUCUGAUAGUUGGAAGUGGUUUGAGAUCUGAAAAAUUCGUGCUCGUGGUCUGAAGCUUGGGUUUCGUGGUGCUCUGGUGUGGGUGUCGUGUGGGUCAUCUUUUGAAAAGGGGAUACUAUUAAUGGAGAAAGGAUGUGUACCCAGCAUAUUUUUUGUUUUAAAAUGUUCUGCCCAUCACUGGUCAGUAAUUCAGAUUAAAUACUGCAUAUUUGUUAUAUUAAAAUGUUCUGCCCAUCCUAUGUAAUUAUUUCAGAUCAAAUACAUCUCAAUCCAAUGGGGAAUAAGACCUUGUCAAGAGAGCAAUAACAAUAGACCCAAAAUGCAUAAUCUGAAAAUUGGAUAGGUAAUAACAGAAAAUUAGCAGCCCCUGCUGCAAUCUCUUACAUUAACCUCAUAGCUUUUACAAGAACAAGAUCUUGCAUGAAACAAGACCAUUUACAUGUUUUCUGGAGCUUCCCCAGAUUUCAAAAUAAAGUUCCACAAGGGGCAGUUUCCCUAGAACU